rnacentral:rRNA from 1 species
AGGGUUUGAUCCUGGCUCAGAUUGAACGCUGGCGGCAGGCUUAACACAUGCAAGUCGAGCGGAAACGAUGAUAGCUUGCUAUCAGGCGUCGAGCGGCGGACGGGUGAGUAACGCGUAGGAACCUACCUAUUAGUUUGGGAUAGCCAUUGGAAACGAUGAUUAAUACCGGAUACGCCCUACGGGGGAAAGGGGGCUUCGGCUCUCGCUAAUAGAUGGGCCUGCGUGAGAUUAGCUAGUUGGUGAGGUAAUGGCUCACCAAGGCAACGAUCUCUAGCUGGUUUGAGAGGAUGAUCAGCCACACUGGGACUGAGACACGGCCCAGACUCCUACGGGAGGCAGCAGUGGGGAAUAUUGCACAAUGGGCGCAAGCCUGAUGCAGCCAUGCCGCGUGUGUGAAGAAGGCUCUAGGGUUGUAAAGCACUUUCAGCAGUGAGGAAAGGUUAGUAGUUAAUACCUGCUAGCUGUGACGUUAACUGCAGAAGAAGGACCGGCUAACUCCGUGCCAGCAGCCGCGGUAAUACGGAGGGUCCGAGCGUUAAUCGGAAUUACUGGGCGUAAAGCGUACGUAGGUGGUUUGUUAAGUUGGAUGUGAAAGCCCCGGGCUCAACCUGGGAACUGCAUCCAAAACUGGCAGACUAGAGUAUGGUAGAGGUAAGUGGAAUUUCCUGUGUAGCGGUGAAAUGCGUAGAGAUGGGAAGGAACACCAGUGGCGAAGGCGACUUACUGGACUAAUACUGACACUGAGGUACGAAAGCGUGGGUAGCAAACAGGAUUAGAUACCCUGGUAGUCCACGCCGUAAACGAUGUCAACUAGCUGUCUGUGGACUUGAUCCGUGGGUAGCGCAGCUAACGCACUAAGUUGACCGCCUGGGGAGUACGGCCGCAAGGUUAAAACUCAAAUGAAUUGACGGGGGCCCGCACAAGCGGUGGAGCAUGUGGUUUAAUUCGAUGCAACGCGAAGAACCUUACCAUCCCUUGACAUCCAGAGAACUUUCUAGAGAUAGAUUGGUGCCUUCGGGAACUCUGAGACAGGUGCUGCAUGGCUGUCGUCAGCUCGUGUUGUGAAAUGUUGGGUUAAGUCCCGCAACGAGCGCAACCCCUAUCCUUAUUUGCCAGCGAGUAAUGUCGGGAACUUUAAGGAGACUGCCGGUGAUAAACCGGAGGAAGGUGGGGACGACGUCAAGUCAUCAUGGCCCUUACGGGAUGGGCUACACACGUGCUACAAUGGCAGAUACAGAGGGCAGCGAGACCGCGAGGUGGAGCGAAUCCCACAAAGUCUGUCGUAGUCCGGAUUGGAGUCUGCAACUCGACUCCAUGAAGUCGGAAUCGCUAGUAAUNGUGGAUCAGAAUGCCACGGUGAAUACNUUCCCGGGCCUUGUNNANACCGCCCGU